CUACGGGGCGCACCAGUGAGGAAUAUUGCACAAUGGGGGGAACCCUGAUGCAGCAACGCCGCGUGGAGGAUGACGCAUUUCGGUGUGUAAACCCCUUUUAUAUGUCAAGAAAAUGACGGUAGCAUAUGAAUAAGCACCGGCUAACUCCGUGCCAGCAGCCGCGGUAAUACGGAGGGUGCAAGCGUUACUCGGAAUCACUGGGCGUAAAGGACGCGUAGGCGGGCUUGUAAGUCAGGUGUGAAAUCCUACAGCUUAACUGUAGAACUGCACUUGAAACUACGAGCCUAGAGUAUGGGAGGGGCAGAUGGAAUUAGUGGUGUAGGGGUAAAAUCCGUAGAUAUCACUAGGAAUACCUAAAGCGAAGGCGAUCUGCUGGAACAUAACUGACGCUAAGGCGUGAAAGCGUGGGGAGCAAACAGGAUUAGAUACCCUUGUAGUC
rnacentral:rRNA from 1 species